ensembl:ncRNA ZK867.12 ncRNA
AUAGCCACCUGUCUGCCCGCAACCUAAAUGACCUGCUGUCCUUCCGGGGGUGGAAGGAAAAGAAAUAGGAAAGGCUUAUGCUUUUGGUUUUGUGCCGGUUGAGUUGAGUUUGUGCAUGAGCGUCGUUGUCGUCGUGGAAA